rnacentral:rRNA from 1 species
GCGGCGUGCCUAAUACAUGCAAGUCGAACGCUUUUAUCUCACCGGGUGCUUGCACCCACCGAGAUAAAGGAGUGGCGGACGGGUGAGUAACACGUGGGUAACCUGCCCAUAAGUGGGGGAUAACAUUCGGAAACGGAUGCUAAUACCGCAUAUCUUUAUUGGCCUCAUGGCCAAGUGAUGAAAGGCGGCUUCGGCUGUCGCUUAUGGAUGGACCCGCGGCGCAUUAGUUAGUUGGUGAGGUAACGGCUCACCAAGACGAUGAUGCGUAGCCGACCUGAGAGGGUGAUCGGCCACACUGGGACUGAGACACGGCCCAGACUCCUACGGGAGGCAGCAGUAGGGAAUCUUCCGCAAUGGACGAAAGUCUGACGGAGCAACGCCGCGUGAGUGAAGAAGGUUUUCGGAUCGUAAAACUCUGUUGUUAGAGAAGAACAAGGAUGAGAGUAACUGCUCGUCCCUUGACGGUAUCUAACCAGAAAGCCAUGGCUAACUACGUGCCAGCAGCCGCGGUAAUACGUAGAUGGGCAAGCGUUGUCCGUAUUUAUGGGGCGUAAAGCGAGUGCAGGAGGUUCUUUAAGUCUGAUGUGAAAGCCCCGGGCUUAACCUGGGAGGGUCAUUGGAAACUGGAGGACUUGAGUGCAGAAGAGGAAAGUGGAAUUCCAUGUGUAGCGGUGAAAUGCGUAGAUAUAUGGAGGAACACCAGUGGCGAAGGCGACUUUCUGGUCUGUAACUGACGCUGAGACUCGAAAGCAUGGGGAGCAAACAGGAUUAGAUACCCUGGUAGUCCAUGCCGUAAACGAUGAGUGCUAAGUGUUGGAGGGUUUCCGCCCUUCAGUGCUGCAGCUAACGCAUUAAGCACUCCGCCUGGGGAGUACGGCCGCAAGGCUGAAACUCAAAGGAAUUGACGGGGGCCCGCACAAGCGGUGGAGCAUGUGGUUUAAUUCGAAGCAACGCGAAGAACCUUACCAGGUCUUGACAUCCUUUGACCACUCUAGAGAUAGAGCUUUCCCUUCGGGGACAAAGUGACAGGUGGUGCAUGGUUGUCGUCAGCUCGUGUCGUGAGAUGUUGGGUUAAGUCCCGCAACGAGCGCAACCCUUAUUAUUAGUUGCCAGCAUUCAGUUGGGCACUCUAGUGAGACUGCCGGUGACAAACCGGAGGAAGGUGGGGAUGACGUCAAAUCAUCAUGCCCCUUAUGACCUGGGCUACACACAUGCUACAAUGGAUGGUACAACGAGUUGCGAAACAGUGAUGUUUAGCUAAUCUCUUAAAGCCAUUCUCAGUUCGGAUUGUAGGCUGCAAUUCGCCUACAUGAAGCCGGAAUCGCUAGUAAUCGCGGAUCAGCACGCCGCGGUGAAUACGUUCCCGGGCCUUGUACACACCGCCCGUCACACCACGAGAGUCUGUAACACCCAAAGUCGGUGAGGUAACCUUCGGGAGCCAGCCGCCUAAGGUGGGAUGGAUAAUUGGGGUGAAGU